AUUGAACGCUGGCGGCAUGCCUAACACAUGCAAGUCGAGCGGAGCUGCGGACGGGUGAUUAAUGCCUAGGAAUUUGCCUGGUAGUGGGGGAUAUCGUCCGGAAACGGGCGCUAAUACCGCAUACUAUCAGAUGAGCCUUGGUCGGAUUUGCUAGUUGGUGGGGUAAAGGCCUACCAAGGCGACGAUCCGUAACUGGUCUGAGAGGAUGAUCAGUCACACUGGAACUGAGACACGGUCCAGACUCCCACGGGAGGCAGCAGUGGGGAAUAUUGGGCAAUGGGCGAAAGCCUGACCCAGCCAUGCCGCGUGGGUGAAGAAGGUCUUCGGAUUGUAAAGCACUGUAAGUUGGGAGGCGUUACCAACAGAAUAAGCAACGGCUAACUACGUGCCAGCAGCCGCGGUAAUUC
rnacentral:rRNA from 1 species